rnacentral:rRNA from 1 species
AAAUUGAAGAGUUUGAUCAUGGCUCAGAUUGAACGCUGGCGGCAGGCCUAACACAUGCAAGUCGAACGGUAACAGGAAGCAGCUUGCUGCUUCGCUGACGAGUGGCGGACGGGUGAGUAAUGUCUGGGAAACUGCCUGAUGGAGGGGGAUAACUACUGGAAACGGUAGCUAAUACCGCAUAACGUCGCAAGACCAAAGAGGGGGACCUUCGGACCUC